rnacentral:rRNA from 1 species
ACAGCAGUCGCCGCGGGAAUACGAAGGGGGCUAGCGUUGUUCGGAAUCACUGGGCGUAAAGCGCACGUAGGCGGACUUUUAAGUCAGAGGUGAAAUCCCAAGGCUCAACCUUGGAACUGCCUUUGAUACUGGGAGUCUUGAGUUCGGGAGAGGUGAGUGGAACUGCGAGUGUAGAGGUGAAAUUCGUAAAUAUUCGCAAGAACACCAGUGGCGAAGGCGGCUCUCUGGCCCGAUACUGACGCUGAGGUGCGAAAGCGUGGGGAGCGAACAGGAUUAGAUACCCGCGUAGUCCCUGUCUCUUAUAC